rnacentral:rRNA from 1 species
GAGUUUGAUCCUGGCUCAGGAUGAACGCUGGCGGCGUGCUUAACACAUGCAAGUCGAACGAGCACUAUUGAAAGAUUCUUCGGAUGAUGGAUAUAGUGACUGAGUGGCGGACGGGUGAGUACGCGUGGGUAACCUGCCUCAUACAGGGGGAUAACAGUUAGAAAUGACUGCUAAUACCGCUAAGCGCACAGGACCGCAUGGUCUGGUGUGAAAAACUCCGGUGGUAUGAGAUGGACCCGCUCUGAUUAGCUAGUUGGUGGGGUAACGGCCUACCAAGGCGACGAUCAGUAGCCGACCUGAAGGGUGACCGGCCACAUUGGGACUGAGACACGGCCCAAACUCCUACGGGAGGCAGCAGUGGGAAUAUUGCACAAUGGGCGAAAGCCUGAUGCAGCGACGCCGCGUGAGCGAAGAAGUAUUCGGUAUGUAAAGCUCUAUCAGCAGGGAAGAAAAUGACGGUACCUGACUAAGAAGCACCGGUAAAUACGUGCCAGCAGCCGCGGUAAUACGUAUGGUGCAAGCGUUAUCCGGAUUUACUGGUGUAAAGGGAGCGUAGACGGCUCAGUAAGUCUGAAGUGAAAGCCCGGGGCUCAACCCCGGACUGCUUUGGAAACUAUUGGGCUAGAGUGCCGGAGAGGUAAGCGGAAUUCCUAGUGUAGCGUGAAAUGCGUAGAUAUUAGAGGAACACCAGUGGCGAAGGCGGCUUACUGGACGGUAACUACGUUGAGCUCGAAAGCGUGGGGGAGCAAACAGGAUUAGAUACCCUGG